rnacentral:pre_miRNA from 1 species
CCUGAUUUCCGUGUCCAACGUUUGACCGUCCGUCUUAUUUGAAAAAAUUAUAAAAAAAAUUAAAAAGAUAAGUCACGCAUAAAGUAUUAAUCAUGUUUUAUCAUCUAACAACAAUGAAAAUACUAAUUAUAAAAAAAUUUCAUAUAAGACGGACAGUUAAACGUUGGCACGGAAACCCAGGGUUUGCCUUUUU